rnacentral:lncRNA from 1 species
GAUUAACCUGUGUUAAAUGUAAGAAUGACCUUCUUCUCCAGCAACUCAUUGUUAUCUGCCCUUAGUCUUGCUCCCUAGGAGUGGGUUGUGUUCCUAAAGUUUGUUCUUUGGUUGCUCUUGAAGUUUAUCAAUUACUUUCCUUUUGUUCUCUUCUGUGUUGUGGCUGACCCAUGAAAUCCGAGAGAUCAGACAGUUUCACUUCACUGGCUGGCCGGAUUACGGGGUCCCCCACCAUGUCACAGGCCUGCUGAGAUUUGUCUGGUCAAAUCCAAGAGCUUGCCCAAUGUAGGCCCAUUGGUGAUGCACUGCAGAUAAGCAGAGCUCCCAGCGCCUCUUAAAGAAGUAUACCAUGGGUUAUGGUUGGG